AGGAGAGGAACGUCUGCUAAGUGCGCAUAAGUCAUCACAUCCUGUGAAAGUAAGUCCUGUAUGCAACGCAUAAGUCACCGCGUCCUGCGGA
rnacentral:sRNA from 1 species